AAAAUAGUGCAAUUGCCUUUUUACUCACAUUGUGCUGCUCUCUUGAUAAUCCAGAGCUUUCCCAAUAGUAGAAAGAUAAGUUUCAGGUGACAAAGCCACUUCAAGAAGCUAUUGCAAAAAUGCCAUUCUCUGCCCAUUAGAUGGUUUCUAUGAGACCAUCUGAUUGAAAUAGCCGAGCUUUAUUUGGUUAUUUCUGCAGAUGCGCCUCUACUAGCGGUCAGAGUGACUGUCACUGGAGGCAUUUAAACCUUGCAAUGAAAACAUUGCUGUUUCUGCAGAAUGGCAAUGAUAUCACUUGCAAAGUUAAAACUAGAGGGACAUGGCCCCCAGACCACUUCAUUGAGAUGACGUGGUCUGUGUGCCAAUAGAGUCGCUUUAAGUGGGCUGGCUUAGAGAUAAGUACCAGGAGCCUUGGCUAGUAACCUCUGUAGCCGUGUCAGUCCUCAAUGCUUGAUAGCAGAGCUGCAGGAACUAUUUUAGAGGAUACAGUUCCAGCUUUUCCAGUGUCCGUAUGUCCAGUGUCUGUGUGAGGCUGUACGGGAAGUGGAAGGGAUCAUUUUCCACUAACAGUCUCUCAAACAGGCGGUACCUUGGAAGAUGAGGACAGCAACUGAGUGAUGCAUACUGUAAAACAACUACUGCAGCUCUGAACUACAAAAGACUUAGGAGUGUGGAUACUUCGCAAAUAAUCCAUCGAACACCACAUGCCCUAAAUGCCAUUUUCCAUAAACCUAGAUGCAUUCCCUCCCAAAACGUAAAUAUACCCUCUGCUUAGUCCCAAAUAGUGAUGUCGCGAACCGUUCGCGAACUUUUCGCGAACGGUAAC